rnacentral:tRNA from 1 species
GGGGCUGUAGCUCAGUCGGAUAGAGCAACGGUUUCCUAAACCGUAGGUCAUGGGUUCGAAUCCCGUCAGCCCCG